rnacentral:tRNA from 1 species
GGAGGAGAAGCGUUCCCCGGUGGGGCGUCCGGUCUUCAAAACCGGAAGGGGCCGCGGAUGCGGUCCCUGGUGGGUUCGACUCCCACUCUCUUCCACCA